UACGGGGGGGGCAAGCGUUGUUCGGAAUUACUGGGCGUAAAGCGUGCGCAGGCGGUUUUGUAAGUCUGUCGUGAAAGCCCCGGGCUCAACCUGGGAAUUGCGAUGGAGACUGCAAGGCUUGAAUCUGGCAGAGGGGGGUAGAAUUCCACGUGUAGCAGUGAAAUGCGUAGAGAUGUGGAGGAACACCGAUGGCGAAGGCAGCCCCCUGGGUCAACACUGACGCCUCAUGCACGAAAGCGUGGGGAGCAAACAGG
rnacentral:rRNA from 1 species